AGGACGAACGCUGGCGGCGGGCUUAACACAUGCAAGUCGAACGAGAACCCGGAGCUUGCUCUGGGGGAAAGUGGCGCACGGGUGAGUAACGCGUAGGCAAUCUGCCCCCAACUGAGGAAUAACCCAUCGAAAGGUGGGCUAAUACCACAUAACGACGGACGACCGCAUGGUCGAUCGUCCAAAGUUCAGGCGGUUGGGGAUGAGCCUGCGUCGGAUUAGCUAGUUGGCGGGGUAACGCCACCAAGGCGACGAUCCGUAGCGGGUCUGAGAGGAUGAUCCGCCACACUGGCACUGAGACACGGGCCAGACUCCUACGGGAGCAGCAGUGAGGAA
rnacentral:rRNA from 1 species